rnacentral:rRNA from 1 species
AGGGGGGAAUUUUCCGCAAUGGGCGAAAGGCCUGACGGAGCAAUGCCGCGUGGAGGUGGAAGGCCUACGGGUCGUCAACUUCUUUUCUCGGAGAAGAAACAAUGACGGUAUCUGAGGAAUAAGCAUCGGCUAACUCUGUGACAG